GCAAGUCGAACGAGAAAGUGGAGCAAUCCAUGAGUAAAGUGGCGACCGGGUGAGUAACACGUGACUAACCUACCUCCGAGUGGGGAAUAACUCCGGGAAACCGGGGCUAAUACCGCAUAACAUCGCAAGAUCAAAGCAGCAAUGCGCUUGGAGAGGGGGUCGCGGCUGAUUAGCUAGUUGGCGGGGUAACGGCCCACCAAGGCGAAGAUCGGUAUCCGGCCUGAGAGGGCGCACGGACACACUGGAACUGAAACACGGUCCAGACUCCUACGGGAGGCAGCAGUGGGGAAUUUUGCGCAAUGGGGGAAACCCUGACGCAGCAACGCCGCGUGGAGGAUGAAGUCCCUUGGGACGUAAACUCCUUUCGACCAAGACGAUAAUGACGGUACUGGUGGAAGAAGCACCGGCUAACUCUGUGCCAGCAGCCGCGGUAAUACAGAGGGUGCGAGCGUUGUUCGGAAUUAUUGGGCGUAAAGGGCGCGUAGGCGGUGCCACAAGUCACUUGUGAAAUCCCCGGGCUUAACUCGGGGCCUGCAGGCGAAACUGUGGUGCUGGAGUAUGGGAGAGGUGCGUGGAAUUCCCGGUGUAGCGGUGAAAUGCGUAGAUAUCGGGAGGAACACCUGUGGCGAAAGCGGCGCACUGGACCAUAACUGACGCUGAGGCGCGAAAGCUAGGGGAGCAAACAGGAUUAGAUACCCUGGUAGUCCUAGCCCUAAACGAUGAUUGCUUGGUGUAGCAGGUACCCAAUCCUGCUGUGCCGCAGCUAACGCGAUAAGCAAUCCGCCU
rnacentral:rRNA from 1 species